GGUUUGAUUGGUCCAGAAGGCAGAGAGGGACCCCUUGGACCUCAAGGUCUCCGAGUGUCAUGGGGUAUGGUAGCUUAGUCUCCGUUGACCAACCAUAGAUCCCAGACCUGAAGAAAUGGGUGAGAGUCCCCAGUGCUACCCAGACUCUAAGGGGAAGAAAGGCGAAGUGGGUCCACCAGGAACCCCAGGAGCACUAGGGCCACAGG